CCUACGGGGUGCAGCAGUGAGGAAUAUUGGUCAAUGGACGAGAGUCUGAACCAGCCAAGUAGCGUGAAGGAUGACUGCCCUAUGGGUUGUAAACUUCUUUUAUAUGGGAAUAAAAUGUUCCACGUGUGGGAUUUUUUAUGUACCAUAUGAAUAAGGAUUGGCUAACAUCGUUCCAGCAGCCGCGGUAAUACGGUGGAACGGAGCGUUAUCCGGAUUUAUUUGGUUUAAAGGGAGCGUAGGUGGAUUGUUAAGUCAGUUGUGAAAGUUUGCGGGUCAACCGUAAAAUUGCAGUUGAAACUGGCAGUCUUGAGUACAGUAGAGGUGGGCGGAAUUCGUGGUGUAGCGGUGAAAUGCUUAGAUAUCACGAAGAACUCCGAUUGCGAAGGCAGCUCACUGGACUGCAACUGACACUGAGGCUCGAAAGUGUGGGUAUCAAACAGGAUUAGAUACCCUAGUAGUC
rnacentral:rRNA from 1 species